CCUACGGGAGGCAGCAGUGGGGAAUAUUGGGCAAUGGGGGGAACCCUGAUGCAGCGACGCCGCGUGAGUGAAGAAGUAUUUCGGUAUGUAAAGCUCUAUCAGCAGGGAAGAAAGAAAUGACGGUACCUGACUAAGAAGCUCCGGCUAACUACGUGCCAGCCGCCGCGGUAAUACGUAGGGGGCAAGCGUUAUCCGGAUUUACUGGGGGUAAAGGGCGCGUAGACGGGGCAGCAAGUCUGAGGUGAAAGGUCGGGGCUCAACCCCGGGACUGCAUUGGAAACUGUUGAACUGGAGUAUAGGAGAGGUAAGCGGAAUUCCUAGUGUAGGGGUGAAAUGCGUAGAUAUUAGGAGGAACACCAGUGGCGAAGGCGGCUUACUGGAACGUAACUGACGUUGAGGCACGAAAGCGUGGGGAGCAAACAGGAUUAGAUACCCUAGUAGUC
rnacentral:rRNA from 1 species